rnacentral:lncRNA from 1 species
CACCUUCUAAUAGGCUUUUGUUCACUGGAUUCAGAGUCUGUUGUGUGCUCCAGUUUGGAUAAUUAAAGUUGUGUCUCCAACGCCACAUGUGGUAGCUUAUAAUUAUGUAGUUCAGAGGAAGAGGAGUCUGAGGAGGCUGAGGUGACUGACGGCGGAGCUAGGGUGGAGAAGGAGAAUAUGGACCCGUGAUGAAGGAGAAAGAAACCAGUCUUCUCUAACAGGGAGACAGGGCUGAUGUUCUCUCCCCAGUGUCAACUGCUGUAUUUAUUUUAAGAUGGGAAUGACUAAUUACAGCCUUCCUGACUCAACCCUCCACCCUCCACAGGGACUGUGUGUAACCCUGUCCCAUGGCCUCCAACAAAGGAAAGCAGGCAUUCUAACUGGGAUGAAGCACUAUAUCACUUUGCCAAGUGUCCGAGCCGGCCGGCCAUCUGUAUGUUCUCUAACAUGGACAUCUGUUCCUGAUAUGUAUACGCAGGGCCAGUUUGAUGCCCCACUCUCCAAACCGAAAGCCCUGUUCUUUCUUUCUCUUGACUGAUAGCCACUGCCAGGGUUUCUACCACUGCGGCCAACAGAAAAGAAUGGACCACACCCCAGCAACUCAGGGUCCCUGGCUCCCGUUCUGUAUCAGUGGAGGUUGCUGGAAGACACAG